rnacentral:rRNA from 1 species
UACGUAGGGUGCGAGCGUUAAUCGGAAUUACUGGGCGUAAAGCGUGCGUAGGCGGUUUGCCGUGUCCUGUGUGAAACCCCCAGGCUCAACCUGGGGACGCCACUCGAUACUGCUGUGGCUAGAGUCCAGUAGAGGAGUGUGGAAUUCCCGGUGUAGCGGUGAAAUGCGCAGAUAUCGGGAGGAACACCAACGGCGAAGGCAGCACUCUGGGCUGGAACUGACGCUGAGGAGCGAAAGCGUGGGGAGCAAACAGGG